GGGCAAGGAAAAGCUGAGGCCUCACUGGCUGUCAUUAUCAAUGAGGGAAAUUUCUAUUUUCUACUCAUAUUCGCCAUACAAAAUAGAAACUCUCUUCUACUUAUGUGUAUAAUACUGCUGCCAACUUCCGUUUAAUGGUUUAUAGCUAAAUUUAACAAUUUCUUCUUGACUGCUUGCAGGGCAAUGGGGAAGAUAAGGGAUAAAAGAAAAUCAAUCUAGCCCGUGAACUGUUUACCAAAGAAGCAAUCACAAAAACUAGUAAUGUUAAUCACUAAAAAAUUUUCAUUCCAUAUUCAAAUUAAGGCUAAUGCCACAAUCAUCUUUCAUUUUCAUAUUUGUGUUAUCUUUAUAUUAAGCAGUCUAAAUUCAACUUAUAAAAAAGAAAAUUUUCUCAUAAAAAAAUUUAGUUCUGAUUUUUGAAGUUAGUUGAAGUCCAGUGCCAUGGCACACUUUCUAACUUAUCCACAUCUGGCUAAUCUACUUGGCACCAAUGGCAGUCAUGUUUAAAUGAAUGGCUUCAUCAAUUUAAACAACAGAAAAAAAAAAUUGCAGAUUUUAAUCUGGCAUGAAUUAGGUAAAUUUUACUUGUUAUGGUUCAACUUAAUUAGGGAGGUAUAUAUUAUCAUACAUUCUUUUAAGCAACAUCCAUUCUACUUAAAAUAUUACAAAAUUCAUUUGCAUGUGUGUAAAUGAGUUUACAAAUCAUGAACACAACAACUACACUAAAGAAAAGAAAAUGAAAUACAAACCUUCCCAGGCCCAGUAAGAAGAACUGGCUUAUCAGUUUUCUGACCUCGACGAUGCUGAAUGGUAUCCAACCCUGUAAUUAAGCUCAAAAUGAUUUAAGGAACGAAAGUAGGACAAAGGGUGAAUGCCUUAUUCAAGCUUUCUUCAAGAUGAGAUACUUCCAUACUCGAGUAACAGAAUAAAGUCUCAAUACAAGUAUUUACAAUUUAAGCAGUACCAGAUAGUUAUAAACAUGGUCUUAGGCAAAAAGCUCAAGCAUUCCGUGUCCUUGCCUUUCAAGUACAUAUCAUUGAAGGAAAGACUAUUGAAAGUCAUUUCAUUGCUUUCACAUUGUUCUUGUAAUGAUUUUAACUGCAUUAGGAUUGUUAUUUACUUACUGAAAUUAGCACCCAAGCCAAUCGCUUUCAUGAGAUUCUGUACAUGCCUAAUCUUUAUGAGCUGUAGUAGAAUUAAAACCACUGAGGUUGUUAACUUCAUAUUAUAAAGAUAAAAUCCAUAUAUAGGUCAAAUGAUAAUUGAAUGAAUGAGUUGGAGUUUUCCAAUUCAAGGCGACAAUGCAAAAUAAUUAUCAUUGAAGCCUCCUUUUAUAUAAAUUCCCAGUAAAAUGGUUUGCUAGAUUUGCAACGAUAUUCCCACCAUUGAAACAAAAGAAUGACAGCCAUAAAAUUCAAAACAACAAGAAGGCAAACACAGCUAGCGACUUUCAAAAUGAUACUAAGUAUAUCAGUGGAAAAUUACCACUCAUGGGAGCACAAGAUCGUAUCAAUACUGCAGCCCCAACCCCUUCCUUGUCUGCAACUACAUUAAGCAUUGUGUGGAGACCAUAGCAAAGAUAAACAUACGCAUGCCCUCCCGGUCCAAAAACUGGAGCUGUUCUUGCGGUGAUACCAAAUCUGCCGUGACAAGCUGAAUCAUUAGGCCUGUAAGCUUCAACCUCAGUAAUCUGAAGAACAACACCAUCUCUCCUAAGGAACUUGCCAAGCAAGCGUGGAGCAAGAUCAAGAGCGUCAAUUUGAAAAAACUCGAGGGGCAAUAUUCUCAUUUUAUCAAAAGAUAGUGGGUUUGAAUUUGGGAUUGUUAAAGAAAGAAUUUUGGUUUGGGGUUGAGCUUGGCAUGACUUGGAUUUGGCCCUAAUGGUUACAGAUUUCAGGCGCAGACCCGGCCGAGUUUCCAGGUCUUUAUCGCCGGGUUCGCUCGGUUGAAUCGCCUUCGUGGAUUUCGCGACUCGCUUGAAUUGCUGAGCCCUUUUCAUUUCCUUGUUGGUGAGGGACCAAAGGAAAGGCGUUGAAAAACGAGAAAGGAAAUGCCGUUUAGCCGUUUACUCUGGAACAUGAGCGGCUUGUCGAC
rnacentral:misc_RNA from 1 species